rnacentral:lncRNA from 1 species
CGCCAUUUUACAUCGUCGAAUGGAGAAGACACAAGAAGAAAUACGAGAAAUUACACUGUUUAAAAGGUCGUGUUUGCAAUUGCCAGGGAACAAGCCAACCUGUUGGAUUCCAUACUGCUGAUUUUUUCCCCAAACAAUAAAACAAUCUAUUCCCAUCUUUUUCCUACCAAGACAAACAGAUCUUGGAAACCUUCCUUCCCAGUCUACCUUUCCCAUUCAUCUUUAAAUUCCCACUUUUUCCCUUUCUGAUUCAAUUCUUACUUAAGGUAAAGUUCAAGUAUUUUUUUUUGCGUUCAAGUAUUUUUUUAUUUUUUUAUUUGCGUUUCAUGUUAUUGAUUUUCUGUGCAUUUGAUACACUGAUGCAGAUUGCAAGAUUUAAUUUUUUUCAUUAAUCUGGUAUUUGAACUUUACCUGGACUUGAGUACCCUGUCAUGAUACAUCUUUGCUUUCUGAAGUUUGUUAUUUGUGGUUUUGUUGUUUUUGACUUUGUUGAUGUAAGCAUAGGCAAUGGAUUCCUCGUUGUGAUCGUUAGAGGACUUUAGACAAUGAAUUUUCUAUUUCUCUUUAAUCUCAUUAACCUCUUAAUUUUGCAUUUAUUUGCCUAUGCUUAACAUUAUGCUAUCCUUAUCUCUGAUGCCGUGUCUUAUGCAUGACUUAAAUAACAAUUUUCCAUUUUAUGCUAGCCAGUAUUACAUCCAGUUUUAACUGCAUUAGAGUUGUUUUCAUAAACUCAUGAAAUACAAUUAGCACACUAUUUUCUAUCUCUCUUUUUUCUAUGAUUACAACCUAUUUCACAGUUUUAUGAAAGUUACUCUAAUGUUAGUGUUCAUGGGGUAAUGCUGUGUAUCAUGGCUAGUGUUUUGCCUGCACCCAAAUGAACAGGCUGUUCUUUCACAAUUAGUGUUUAUCACCAGACUGUGAAGUAGAGAAGUGGUCAGGUGGUGUAUUAUUGUCUGCAUGUGUGAAACUUGAGAAAAACUGUCCUAGUUGUGAACAUGCAACUAUAACUGAAACAUCUUACAUAUAGCUGGUGACGCAACAGCUCCAAAGCUAAGCCUGGUUUUAAAACAUUCCCUCCAAAUUUAUGUGUGUGAUGCUUAUAUUAUUCAAUAACAAAAUGGUCUCUCGAGGACAUCUGUGGCUAUAUAAGCUUCACUAUUUCACAGUCUGGCUAAAACAUAUUUUAAUGGUUAGAGGCCCAAGUGCAUCUGAGACCCUCUUCAAUUGUAAUAUGCAACAUUCUCAGAUACCCAUGGGCCUAUGAGUAUAAUCACAUUUGAAUUAUAUAAACUUGACUAGAAGUCUCUGGAUGACAAGUGCUUCCGACAUUUCAUACUCUUGAAAAUAAAAUGAAACGUCAAGUAAACUGAUAAAUUAAGACUUGUCAAUCAAAACUUCAUAGUCAAGUACUAGUAUCGUAAGUUCAGAGUCAUCGGUCACAAACAGUCGAGGGGAGUAUCCUUGUUCCUUCACUUAAAGUGGCACAGGGAAGCCAACACUAUUAAUAAAUACAAAGGAAGUUACAUGGAGACUUCCCCUUGAUUGUUUUGUUCCUGAUUACUCAUGUAAACAAAGUCUGGUUCAUAUAAAGACAUCAGCAUAAGAAUUUUCACUUUGUUUUUUUUUAUGUCAUGCUAAUGUCUUUUGUGAGUAACUUCUGAUUGUCUUCUGUGAACCAGACUUAACAUUAUUGACAUUGUAUAUCGAGGGGAUUGAGCAUUGUGUAUCUUAUCCCUUGGGAAUUAAAAUAUGACAAAAUAAAAUACUAUGGAGGAUUA